rnacentral:rRNA from 1 species
AGCGAACGCUGGCGGCAGGCUUAACACAUGCAAGUCGAGCGCCCCGCCAGGGGAGCGGCAGCCGGGAGAGUAACACGUGGGAACAUACCUUUUGGUUCGGAACAACUGAGGGAAACUUCAGCUAAUACCGGAUAAGCCCUUACGGGGAAAGAUUUAUCGCCGAAAGAUUGGCCCGCGUCUGAUUAGCUAGUUGGUGAGGUAACGGCUCACCAAGGCGACGAUCAGUAGCUGGUCUGAGAGGAUGAUCAGCCUCACUGGGACUGAGACACGGCCCAGACUCCUACGGGAGGCAGCAGUGGGGAAUAUUGGACAAUGGGGGCAACCCUGAUCCAGCCAUGCCGCGUGAGUGAUGAAGGCCUUAGGGUUGUAAAGCUCUUUUGCCCGGGAAGAUAAUGACGGUACCGGGAGAAUAAGCCCCGGCUAACUUCGUG